rnacentral:misc_RNA from 1 species
AAGAGUUCUAUAACUCCCAAACCCAUGUGAACAUACCUUACGUUGCCUCGGCAGGUCACGCCUACCCCGUAGCGCCCUACCCUGUAGGACCUACCCGGUAGACGUGGGUAAGCCUGCCGGCGGCCCACGAAACUCUGUUUAGUAUUGAAUUCUGAACCUAUAACUAAAUAAGUUA